GAGUGGCAUCACUUGAUAUUGAAAACUCCGGUGGAUAGAGAUGGGCACGCGCAAGAUUAGAUAGUUGGUGAGGUAACGGCUCACCAAGUCUACGAUCUUUAGGGGGCCUGAGAGGGUGAUCCCCCACACUGGUACUGAGACACGGACCAGACUCCUACGGGAGGCAGCAGUGAGGAAUAUUGGACAAUGGGUGAGAGCCUGAUCCAGCCAUCCCGCGUGAAGGACGACGGCCCUAUGGGUUGUAAACUUCUUUUGUAUAGGGAUAAACCUAGAUACGUGUAUCUAGCUGAAGGUACUAUACGAAUAAGCACCGGCUAACUCCGUGCCAGCAGCCGCGGUAAUACGGAGGGUGCAAGCGUUAUCCGGAUUUAUUGGGUUUAAAGGGUCCGUAGGCGGAUUUGUAAGUCAGUGGUGAAAUCUCACAGCUUAACUGUGAAACUGCCAUUGAUACUGCAAGUCUUGAGUGUUGUUGAAGUAGCUGGAAUAAGUAGUGUAGCGGUGAAAUGCAUAGAUAUUACUUAGAACACCAAUUGCGAAGGCAGGUUACUAAGCAACAACUGACGCUGAUGGACGAAAGCGUGGGGAGCGAACAGGAUUAGAUACCCUGGUAGUCCACGCCGUAAACGAUGCUAACUCGUUUUUGGGCUUUUGGGUUCAGAGACUAAGCGAAAGUGAUAAGUUAGCCACCUGGGGAGUACGAACGCAAGUUUGAAACUCAAAGGAAUUGACGGGGGCCCGCACAAGCGGUGGAUUAUGUGGUUUAAUUCGAUGAUACGCGAGGAACCUUACCAAGGCUUAAAUGGGAAAUGACAGGUUUAGAAAUAGACUUUUCUUCGGACAUUUUUCAAGGUGCUGCAUGGUUGUCGUCAGCUCGUGCCGUGAGGUGUUAGGUUAAGUCCUGCAACGAGCGCAACCCCUGUCACUAGUUGCCAUCAUUAAGUUGGGGACUCUAGUGAGACUGCCUACGCAAGUAGAGAGGAAGGUGGGGAUGACGUCAAAUCAUCACGGCCCUUACGCCUUGGGCCACACACGUAAUACAAUGGCCGGUACAGAGGGCAGCUACACAGCGAUGUGAUGCAAAUCUCGAAAGCCGGUCUCAGUUCGGAUUGGAGUCUGCAACUCGACUCUAUGAAGCUGGAAUCGCUAGUAAUCGCGCAUCAGCCAUGGCGCGGUGAAUACGUUCCCGGGCCUUGUACACACCGCCCGUCAAGCCAUGGAAGUCUGGGGUACCUGAAGUCGGUGACCGUAACAGGAGCUGCCUAGGGUAAAACAGGUAACUAGGGCUAAGUCGUAACAAGGUAGCCGUACCGGAAGGUGCGGCUGGAACAUCUCAUUU
rnacentral:rRNA from 2 species